rnacentral:rRNA from 1 species
UACGUAGGGUGCAAGCGUUAAUCGGAAUUACUGGGCGUAAAGCGUGCGCAGGCGGUUAUGUAAGACAGAUGUGAAAUGCCCGGGCUUAACCUGGGAACUGCAUUUGUGACUGCAUGGCUAGAGUUUGGCAGAGGGGGGUAGAAUUCCACGUGUAGCAGUGAAAUGCGUAGAUAUGUGGAGGAACACCGAUGGCGAAGGCAGCCCCCUGGGUCAAGACUGACGCUCAUGCACGAAAGCGUGGGGAGCAAACGAGGAUUAGA